rnacentral:rRNA from 1 species
AUUGAACGCUGGCGGCAGGCCUAACACAUGCAAGUCGAAUGGUAACAGGAAACAGCUUGCUGUUUCGCUGACGAGUGGCGGACGGGUGAGUCAUGUCUGGGAAACUGCCUGAUGGAGGGGGUUAACUACUGGAAACGGUAGCUAAUACCGCAUAACGUCGCAAGACCAAAGAGGGGGACCUUCGGGCCUCUUGCCAUCAGAUGUGCCCAGAUGGGAUUAGCUAGUAGGUGGGGUAACGGCUCACCUAGGCGACGAUCCCUAGCUGGUCUGAGAGGAUGACCAGCCACACUGGAACUGAGACACGGUCCAGACUCCUACGGGAGGCAGCAGUGGGGAAUAUUGCACAAUGGGCGCAAGCCUGAUGCAGCAAUGCCGCGUGUAUGAAGAAGGCCUUCGGGUUGUAAAGUACUUUCAGCGGGGAGGAAGGGAGUAAAGUUAAUACCUUUGCUCAUUGACGUUACCCGCAGAAGAAGCACCGGCUAACUCCGUG